UCGGGAAUUUUGGGCAAUGGGCGCAAGCCUGACCCAGCAACGCCGCGUGAAGGAUGAAAUCCCUCGGGAUGUAAACUUCACAAGAACGGGAAGAAUAAGCGCAGGUUAAUACUCUGCGUGAUGACGGUACUGUUUGUAAGCUCCGGCUAACUCCGUGCCAGCAGCCGCGGUAAUACGGGGGGAGCAAGCGUUGUUCGGAUUUACUGGGCGUAAAGGGCGCGUAGGCGGUCACUACAAGUCACUUGUGAAAUCUUCAGGCUUAACCUGAAGCGGCCAAGUGAUACUGUAGGACUAGAGUGCGGAAGGGGCAACUGGAAUUCUUGGUGUAGCGGUGAAAUGCGUAGAUAUCAAGAGGAACACCUGCGGCGAAGGCGGGUUGCCGGGCCGACACUGACGCUGAGGCGCGAAAGCUAGGGGAGCGAA
rnacentral:rRNA from 1 species